rnacentral:tRNA from 2 species
GGGGAUAUAGCUCAGUUGGUAGAGUGCUUGCCUUGCAUGCACAAGGCCCUGGGUUCAAUCCCCAGUAUCCCCC